GGCAGCAGCCAUUUUGUAGCAUGUAGAAUGAAAUUUGUUGGUCUGUUGAUUCAUGGUGUCGGGGUGAAAACAGUAGCUAGGCCUGGCACUCCCUUUCCGUGGACCUUCCUGCAGUUUCUCUGACCCCUGGGCCAGAUGUUUACUUUUUUAGCAACUGACACAGGGCCUCGGCUUCUGCUGGAUGACCUCGUCAUCAAGGUCAGACCUGGACACCUACAAGAAAAAGUGGGGUGACACGGCAUUUUGAGGACAAGUGCACAUUCACAGCCCACCUUGCAGUGGAGGAAGAUGAUAUUAGUAUAGUCUGAGCUCAGAUAACAACUGCAGCAAAAAGACCUUCACCAACCAUAUAUCUCCUCUCCUAGCCCAUAAAAGCAUGGAGGGAGAGGAACAUGAUUUUAUCAAACUCCACAACGAGGAUGUCAAGGAGGGGAGGAGCCCCUGCCACCAGCCUUACAGCUGCCACAGAGAAACCCAUCAGCAUUCCAGUCUGCCUCAGCCUGGGCCACAAGGCUCCAAAACCACGAUGGUUAAUGAUGUCCCAGACAACCAGAUACUACAUCAUCAUAGGUCCUGGCACCUUGAGGGGCGCAUGGGGGCAAAUACCUAUACCAUCCCCACUCACAGAAUGUUUCAUGCCCAAGUCUCGGAGAAUUCAGUUAUCUCUGGUUUUAGCUACUUCCAGAUGAACCCAAACUCAUUUUUUACCCUCGUUAGGUUUCAGUUAUCCAAAAUAACAGCCUGUUCAUUCCCUUCAGUGUUGAGAGAAACCCCUAGGGAAUGAUACCUUCUGCUUCCGUCAUGCAAGCUUAUCAGUCAUGAUCCAGAAAGAAGACAGAAAUUACACCAGUUAGUUUAACAGAGAGAAUGUCAUAUAAAGGGCUGCUAGCCCAAUACUGGACAACUGAAAAGGCGAAAAAGGAAUAGCGAGGUAUCUCAGAGAUAGCAGGCCCAGUAUGCAGCGUUCCCCUGAGGACUGAGGCACUCGAGAAAGGGGUUGGAAUUAUCGAAACUCAGCACUUUGGAGAACGGGCACCACAGACUGGAAUUCAGACCUCUGAGGAGGGGAGCUGCUCAGAUAUACUGGUGCCUCAGAAACCUGGGAGCGGGUCCCUGGGAGCUGAGACCCAGACCUGUGAGGACAGCCCGGGAGGUUCCCCUGUGACUGAGGCUCCACCUCUGAGAGUGCAUGAUAAGGCUGGUCCUUGGAGUUUUAGUAAAUCAGUUCAUUGGAAUCAACUGAUGUUUCUGGAAGGAGCCUCUGCUGCCACGCAGAGGAGUGUGGCUAAGGUGAUGCCAUCAAAAACAGAAAGCAAACAGGAAGGAGAGCACGUCCUCUUCCUCCUCCGGCCUUGCAGUGUCUCUCCAGUUUCCAACUGGCAGAGCCUACAGGAACCAAGCAGCGAAGAAAGGUUGCAGAGUCACAGCGUCACAAAACAGAAAAUCAGAGAAGACGAGACCAUGCUCAGGCUAGCCUGCUGGAAGAUGAGACGUGUGGAGCAGAGCGGAGUCAGCUCAGGUGACCCAGCCGAGGCCCCAGACAUUUGCGGAAGCCCAGCCAAGAUCAGCCCAGCCACCUGGCAACCCCACAGCCGAUGGCAGGUGCAUGAGGAGCCCUCCCAAGCCCAGUUCCAAUCAUCAGAACUGCCCAGCUGACAGCUGACCCACAGACUGUGAGCGAAACUAACAGUUUGUUCCUGCAAGCUCCUGAGGUUUUGUGGCUGUGUGUUACACAACAUUAUUGUGGCAAUAGGUAACAGAUACAGAUGUGCAAGUAGAGAUGUCAAGUAGGCAGUUGGAUACGCAUGUCUGAAGGUGUGAGGAGGGCGCUCCGUGGCUAGCUUGUGCUCCAGUGCAGCCUUCGGGAAUUGGAAGAAAAGGCGAGUGGCAACAGGCAGAUGAGACGUGCUCUUUAUUGUCGGGGUAUACAGCAGCGGCGAAAAGCAUGGCUGAGAACAUGGCGAGCGCUUAUACAUGGCCCUGAACAGUAGUGGCACCACGCCAUGGGAAAGCGCGAUCACAUGGCUUCACACAGGAGAUAACACCUUGGUUACACGAGUGUGUGGACUCACGCCUCCCCGGAUAGCCAGCUAACCAGCGGGGCUGGCCUGGAAAAAACACUGCAGCAGUCGUCUUAGUUUGGCCUAAGAAACCUGUUGCCUAUACAAACGCCAUUUCCCUUACAGGUCAGAGAAGUCCAAGCUGGAGGAAAUUUCGAGAGCCGUCAGCAUGGUAGCGGGCACUGUCUGGGGCUCCACCCAGAUCCCCUUGAAUACUGGUUUUUCUUUUUGUAGAGCCUUUUGCUUCUAACACCUCCAGCACCUGCAACUUCCUUGGCGAACUGCUCUUAGGCUACUGGAGCCCCUUUGCCCCCGCAGCCAGAGAGCAAGAAACGCCUGGAUACUAACGUCCCCCCAGGACAGUCCUUGACCGAUGACAGACACAGGCAUGGGGUGGGGUGGGCAGGGUGUAUGCAAGCCCAGCUCCCUUGUCUCAGAAAAGCUCUGAAUCUGUUGGUCAUAAAUAAAUGAGAAGGAAAAAAUUUUUUU